AUCCGGCUGACGAGAUCCAAAUAGGACGAAAGGCUCGUCCUGCAU
rnacentral:hammerhead_ribozyme from 1 species